rnacentral:rRNA from 1 species
UACAGAGGGGGCUAGCGUUGUUCGGAAUUACUGGGCGUAAAGGGCGCGUAGGUGGCCUGUUAAGUCGAACGUGAAAUCCCCGGGCUCAACCCGGGAACUGCGUCCGAUGACUGGACUGAGCUUGAAUCCGGGAGAGGGAUGAGAUUCCAGGUGUAGCGGUGAAAUGCGUAGAUAUCUGGAGGAACACCGGUGGCGAAGGCGGCAUCCUGGACCGGUAUUGACGCUGAGGAGCGAAAGCCAGGGGAGCAAAGCGGG